rnacentral:rRNA from 1 species
AUUUUAACUGUGCUAAGGUAGCAUAAUCAUUAGUUUCUUUAUUGGGAACUGGAAUGAACGAUUGGACGAGAUAAUUUCUGUCUCUUUUUGAAUUGAUUUUUAAUUUUAUUUUUAAGUUAAAAAGCUUAAAUGAUUUUAAAAGACGAGAAGACCCUAUAGAAUUUUACAUUAUAUUGUUUUUAGUAAUUAAUGGAAAUGUUUAUUUGGGGUGACUUGAAGAUUUAACUAAUUCUUUAAAUUUUUUUAUUGAUGAUUAUUAAUUUUAAAUUUUAAUGAUUUUAAGAAUAAAAUAAAUUACCUUAGGGAUAACAGCGUAAUUUUCCUUUUAAGUUCUUAUUUUAAGGGAGGUUUGCGACCUCGAUGUUGGAUUAAAGUUAAUUUUUGGCGCAGUAGCUUAAAAAUUAGGUCUGUUCGACCUUUGAAACU